AUACGGAGGGAGCUAGCGUUGUUCGGAUUUACUGGGCGUAAAGCGCGCGUAGGCGGAUUGGCAAGUUGGGGGUGAAAUCCCGGGGCUUAACCCCGGAACUGCCCUCAAAACUGCUGAUCUAGAGACCGGGAGAGGUAAGCGGAAUUCCUAGUGUAGAGGUGAAAUUCGUAGAUAUUAGGAAGAACACCAGUGGCGAAGGCGGCUUACUGGACCGGUACUGACGCUAAGGUGCGAAAGCGUGGGGAGCAAACAGGAUUAGAAACCCGGGUAGUCC
rnacentral:rRNA from 1 species